CGCCUUUUUCCCCUCACUCUUGGGCAGGACGAGGCGAACCAGGCCUCGGGAUGGAGGCUGUCAGGCAGGACUAGACCCUCCGACCGGCUUUCUGCCGCUCGUGGAGCUCUGUAACCGGCUCCAGACCACCGAGCGUCCUCUCCCCCUCUGCGCGAUGGUGCGGCCUGCUGGUUCCUCCAUGGCAGCUCUGACUGGAAAAAAAACAGGUUAUACUCAGUUACAGAAAAUCUGUUAAGAAGCUAUAAUUUUUAUAAAGUCAAAUUUUCUGAUCCUGAGUCCUACAACUCAGAGAAUGAUGGUGGCAGGUGGAAUUCCGUUGAAAUUUAGUAAGUGCGGUAAGUUGGGUAAAGUCCGAGAGCUUUGGACCUCAUCAGGAUUCUCCUUGACUUCCUGCCAGCUGGCUUGCAGAACUUCCCAAGCCGUGCUGUGCUCUCCAACAAACUGUGCUAUCCAACCCUUCUCUUCUGCAGCCUCCUCAUUCUGAGGUGACUCAUCCACAGUGCCAGGCAAUAGUGCACAGAGGUACUAAAAUUCUCGUCAGCAGAUUCCCAGACUCGUGCGCAGGCAGCACUGGGGGAACAGGCUUCACCGUCAGAGACGGGAGUUCUGCGGAGGACCAUGAAGGAGAGCAGAAAUAAAACCAGACUCUUCAAACACAGAUUCAGGGUGAGUGAUCCUGUGAUUGCUCCAGACAUGAUUUUGCAGAAAACCGAGUAUUCAGCUUGUUUUGAAAGCAGAGAUACUUGUCAGCAAUUACUGCUGAGGUAGGGAGAGUACUGUUAAGAUAGAUAAACUUGUCAGCUGUGUCAACUCUGAUGAUGGAAGAGCAGAAAGGCCAGCUGUAAGGUUGAAAAAGACCUUUGUAUUUUAGAUGCGGAUAGUGAGGUUGUUUUUCCAUAAUGCUGCAAAGUGGUUGAGAGUACCCUUGUUUCUAUAUGCACUAAUUCCACAGAUAUUAGAGAACAGAAAAAAAAAAAAAGCCGUGGAUGAUGGGCUAAGGGUUCCUGGUAUUAUCAUCAGGAAUAAUGUUUGCUGUUGGCAACACAUUUUUGUAGGUGUGCAUAACUGAAUCUUUCAAUUUGAGCUCCCCUUCUUGUUCAGGGGAUUAAUUGGUCUACUGCUUCUACCUGCUGUUAGUUUGCCCAUUGUCCACAUUUCACACUUAUUUAAAAAUCUUUGCUGAUUUUCUCCAAAAGAUCUUCAUAGUCUUGGCUGAUAACUAUGUCAAAUAUAUUCUUUCUUUAGUUAAGUUCUGAUUAAGAUGCCCACUCUGACAUUAAACUUGAGACUGGCAAUGAAUAUGGGUGGCCAGUCACCAGUGAGGUUUCCCAGGGCUCUCAAUUUUAGGGCCCAUUCUCUUUAAUGUUUUUAUAUAUGAUCUAGAUGUGGGAGUCGAAUGCACACUGAGUAAGUUUUCAGAUGAUACUAAAUUAGGAGAAGCUGUUGACUCCCUUGAGGACAGAGAGGCCUUGCAGAGAGAUCUUAACAGAUUAUAGGGCUGGGCAAUAUCCAGCCACGUGAAGUUUAACAAGAGCAAGUGCCAGAUUCUGCACCUAGGACAGCGCAACCCUGUCUGUAUGUACAGAUGUGGGGACACGAGGCUGGAGAUCAGACCCGUGGAAAGGGAUCACAGAAUCACAGCAUGGCUGAUGUUGGAAGCAACCUCUGGAGAUCACCUGGUCCAACCCCCCUGCCCAGCAGGCUCAACCGGAGCAUGUUGCACUGGAUAACAUCCAAGUGGGUUUUGAAUAUCUCCAGAGAAGGAGACUCCAUGGCUUCUCUAGGCAGCCAGUUCCAGUGCUCUGUCACCCUCACGGUAACCAAAUGCCCUCUCAUAUCCAUCUGGAACUUCCUGUGUCUCAGUUUGUGCCCGUUGCCACUUGUCCUGUUGCUGGGCACCACCAAAAGGAGUCUGUCCUCAGCCUCUUGACACCCUCCCUUGUGAUAUUUGUACAUAUUGAUGAGAUCCCCUCUCAGUCUUCUCUCCUCCAAGCU